AAAAUAAAAUUAAACUAAAAAGAAUAUAGAGAAAUUAAAGAAAAAUAAUAAUGGUGGAAAAAGCAGCAGUGAUAAAUUGAUAAUCGUAGGUGCUACUGGAACUUCAGGUUUAGCUGCUGUAGCAUGUUUAACACAAAAUUCAGUUCCAUUCAUUCUUCUCGAAAGAGAAGAUUGUUUUGCUUCCUUAUGUUAAAAAUACACCUAUGAUCGUCUUCACCUUCACCUUGGGAAAAAAGUGUGUAAGCUUCCCUAUCUUCAAUUCCCUGAUUCCUACCCUCGCUAUGUUCCUAAGAAGCUCUUCACUGAGUAGUUAGACAACUAUGUGAAGCACUUCAACAUCUCCCUCUAUUUUCUAUUUUUCACUUCAAGCUGUCCCCUUCUCUCCCUGUCUCGCUCGAAACCCUAAAUCCCAUUUUCCCGUUCAUUCUCUUCUGGAUAGCUCAGUCCCUCCUUCUGGCCUAUAUCAUCUCUGUCGAUGUUGUGAUCCCCCGUCCAACUCCUCUGUGUGACCUCCCGUUUUCUCCCCUUUUCUCGCUUUGUCUCUCACAGUGUCGCGGUCACUUUCAAACCCUAGCCCUUCAACCCCGAUUUUUUCCAUUCCAGAUCGUGUUUCUCGAGCCUUUCUUGCAUUAUGCCAUCCUGUGCUUGAGACGCUCUCUCGCUCUCUCUUGUUCGGUGUAUCUUUCGAUCCGAAACCCUAGACCUUCUUUCCCGCUGUCCUCCUUCCAGUUCGGGUUUCUCUCUGGGUAAAUUGUUGAUAUCCAGAAGAGAAUGAAGGGAAAAAUGGGAUUUAGGAUUUCUUCGAUUACUCAAAACGCCGGUAUAUGCCGAGUGGAAUCAAGAGCUGGUCCAGUCGAAGCCAGAUGGCUGGCGAUAGAAGCCCUGAAGGUGUUUAAAAGAUCAAGUGAGAAUCCGUGCUGGAUUCUGAUAUGAGAUUGCAACAUAGUUCUACUGGAGUCAGAAAGUUUGCAAGAAAGUUAAGUUAAAUAAUUUUUUUUCUUGCUUUUUUUUAUAAAUUAUGUUUAAUUUGUUCAUUUUUGUGGUUUUAAAAUAUUUUUUUGUUAUUCGAGAUAAUGUAUAUUUUAAUAUUUUAAAUUGAUAAUCUUUUUAUUAUUACUCUAAUCACUGUUAGUAUCUCUUACCCUUAUUUCAAAUCUAUCAAAUUAAGUGUAAGAUUUGGGAAGUGCAUGAAGAAAAAAGAAAACAUUUGUGUUUUUAGCAAGUGCCAUGAUUUGAUAGGAUCUUUAGGGUGGGUUUGGAAUUGUAUAUUGGUAUAUGUAGUUUUUUAAAAGCAAUAUAUUUGUAUUUCAAUAUUGAUAUUUGUAUUUUUUCUGUUGAUUUCCUUUGGCUAAGGCACGUUUAUAUAUUUCCAGUGUUGUUUUAGUGUUGCAAAGCAAUGAAUUAGCUCUUUUUAUAUAUAGUAUAUGUACGUGUGCAUUGGACUAGCUACCUUAGUUCUUCUUGCAAUUGUCACACUUUAGAAAUAACUACACCAUGCAUGUUAAUAAAUGGAUUUUUAAAAUAAAUUUUGUCUAACUCUUAUUCUUCUAACUGUUAUUUUUUUAUUAUUAUGAACACAUCAAAAUCACUUUGUCAAGGGUGCUUCUUCAUCUUUUUUGCAAAUGAAUACUGCUGAUGGGUUUGGUGCCUAUUUUCUGGAGAAACUCAUUCCAUCAAAGUUGAGGAGCUCCUCUUCAAGGAUCAGUCAUAGUACCAAGAAGCCUUGGUUUUUGAGUCCGCGGCACAAAGUGCUGGUGUUUGACGGGGUUGUUCAGUUGACCAAGAAGGAUGAAUGUGCUUAGCACGAGAUGAUUGCUCAUCUUCCCCUUUGUUCAGUUGAGUCCCCCAAAAAUGUGAAAAACGUUAAUGCAUUGCUGGAGGUUGAGGUGUUAUCGACAGUAAUAGAGAAAUUAGAGGUAACGAGAUAUUGUUGAGAGAUGGCAAGUGCCACUCAUUUGAUUCGAUCAUAUUCUGCAUUGACUUCAAUACAUCAACACAAAAGUGGCUCAAGGGGGUGAUGAUCUUCUGAACGAGAAUGGUUUAGCCAAGGCAAGUAAUUUUCCAAAUUACUGGAAGGGUAAGAACAAUUUGUACUGCGUUGGGCUUGCACAUAGAAGAUUCUUUGGAGCUACCAAUGAUGUUCAAAAUGUAGCAAAUGAUAUUGCCUCACUUCUCAAUUAACUUUCAUGGUCUAUAUGGUUA